CAUAGCUGCCUUCCAAGCAGUUGACCCGG
rnacentral:piRNA from 4 species